GCCGGGCGUGGUGGCGGGCGCCUGUAGUCCCAGCUACUCGGGAGGCUGAGACAGGAGAAUGGCCUGAACCCGGGAGGUGGAGCUGGCAGUGAGCUGAGACCCAGCCACUGCACUCCAGCCUGGGUGACAGAGCGAGACUCUGUCUCAA
ensembl:misc_RNA Metazoa_SRP Metazoan signal recognition particle RNA